rnacentral:rRNA from 1 species
GAUGAACGCUGGCGGCGUGCCUAAUACAUGCAAGUCGAGCGAACGGACGAGAAGCUUGCUUCUCUGAUGUUAGCGGCGGACGGGUGAGUAACACGUGGAUAACCUACCUAUAAGACUGGGAUAACUUCGGGAAACCGGAGCUAAUACCGGAUAAUAUUUUGAACCGCAUGGUUCAAAAGUGAAAGACGGUCUUGCUGUCACUUAUAGAUGGAUCCGCGCUGCAUUAGCUAGUUGGUAAGGUAACGGCUUACCAAGGCAACGAUGCAUAGCCGACCUGAGAGGGUGAUCGGCCACACUGGAACUGAGACACGGUCCAGACUCCUACGGGAGGCAGCAGUAGGGAAUCUUCCGCAAUGGGCGAAAGCCUGACGGAGCAACGCCGCGUGAGUGAUGAAGGUCUUCGGAUCGUAAAACUCUGUUAUUAGGGAAGAACAUAUGUGUAAGUAACUGUGCACAUCUUGACGGUACCUAAUCAGAAAGCCACGGCUAACUACGUGCCAGCAGCCGCGGUAAUACGUAGGUGGCAAGCGUUAUCCGGAAUUAUUGGGCGUAAAGCGCGCGUAGGCGGUUUUUUAAGUCUGAUGUGAAAGCCCAUGGCUCAACCGUGGAGGGUCAUUGGAAACUGGAAAACUUGAGUGCAGAAGAGGAAAGUGGAAUUCCAUGUGUAGCGGUGAAAUGCGCAGAGAUGUGGAGGAACACCAGUGGCGAAGGCGACUUUCUGGUCUGUAACUGACGCUGAUGUGCGAAAGCGUGGGGAUCAAACAGGAUUAGAUACCCUGGUAGUCCACGCCGUAAACGAUGAGUGCUAAGUGUUAGGGGGUUUCCGCCCCUUAGUGCUGCAGCUAACGCAUUAAGCACUCCGCCUGGGGAGUACGACCGCAAGGUUGAAACUCAAAGGAAUUGACGGGGGCCCGCACAAGCGGUGGAGCAUGUGGUUUAAUUCGAAGCAACGCGAAGAACCUUACCAAAUCUUGACAUCCUUUGACAACUCUAGAGAUAGAGCCUUCCCCUUCGGGGGACAAAGUGACAGGUGGUGCAUGGUUGUCGUCAGCUCGUGUCGUGAGAUGUUGGGUUAAGUCCCGCAACGAGCGCAACCCUUAAGCUUAGUUGCCAUCAUUAAGUUGGGCACUCUAAGUUGACUGCCGGUGACAAACCGGAGGAAGGUGGGGAUGACGUCAAAUCAUCAUGCCCCUUAUGAUUUGGGCUACACACGUGCUACAAUGGACAAUACAAAGGGCAGCGAAACCGCGAGGUCAAGCAAAUCCCAUAAAGUUGUUCUCAGUUCGGAUUGUAGUCUGCAACUCGACUACAUGAAGCUGGAAUCGCUAGUAAUCGUAGAUCAGCAUGCUACGGUGAAUACGUUCCCGGGUCU